GGAAACUGGGGCGGCGGCGAGGAGGGUGGGGAACGCAACAGCCCCGAGAAACAAUGGGGAGGGGCAGGGAAUACUCGCCGAGGGCCCCCCCCCCCAGCUUUUGAUGUUAGUGCCACUUUCCUCUUUUGGCCAGCCUUUGCUCUCUCCCCUCAGGUCAAACCAAGGUAGCCCGUCUGGUGACUGCACAGACCGGGAAACUCGCUGUUUCGGCUAGAGGCAGACGAGCGUUCGCAGAAGCUGCCUGACAACUUCCAGCCGAAAAACUGGAAAAUGGGAUCCCACCAGCCCGGCCCGCCCAACUAUGAAUAGGAUCGUCAGCUAAAAAGUUGCGCCCAGAGCCAUUCGGCACCUGGGAGGCCGGCAGGGGCUUCUCCCCUCCACUCUGUCGAAACCUAAGCCGCUCUUUCCGGGGGCUGCCAGCAGGCCGAGAUUUCUCUGAAUAGAACAGAAACUGACCUCUACAGGAUGUUUGGAUUGCAGGUUGUAAAAUAUAUGGCCUAUAAAAAAUCAUUUCCUUUGGGAAAGAAUUGCAGAAAAGUCAUCAUCCUUUGAAGACAAGUUUGAAUAAAAGGUGAUAACCAGCACACGGAACACUUUCUAUCUGCAAGAAGAAAUACAAAGGAGUUGGAGUUAGAAGUAGAUCUCUAAUCAGCCAAUUUGAAUGUGCUUGAAGACAGAUGUGGCAGGGACUCCAUUUCCAGUGUUCAAAUAAGGACAACACGAGUGGUGUGGUGGAGCAACGAGGUGGAAGAAACCUGGUCCCUGAAUGACCUUGUGGGGAAGAGCCAUCCAGAUAGCCAUCCAGCCAGGACUACUCCUAUCGGGACUAUUCUGUAAGAGCUCCUGAGGCAACAGCCACCUUCCUGUUCUUUGGAAUCCUUAUGGACCCUGCUGCUACCCCAGAACUACUCUGCUCAGCACAGUGGACAUGUCCACUGUUCCUCUGCUGCACUGAGAUGCUCACAGCAGCCCUUUCUAUUAAUGACUGCCUUGGAGCCAAACUCGAAUGUGGCCUACAGUGGAAUUGGGAGAACUCUCUCUCCCAAUUUUUGUCAACAAUGGCACUAUUAAGGGAUCUUGAGAUAAUACUGCUGUGUUCACUAUGUAUUGCAGCUUUCUGAUUUUCACUUAGUUGUCUUUUGCCCAAGAACUAAUCCUGUAUCCAGGGGCUGUACUGGCAAUGGAUUCAAUCAACAGCUACCAUUUUAUACUCAGAGUGCCUCUCAACUGAAAUGACUGAGGAUAUGAUGCUGAUUUAGGGUCAUCAUGUCUGGCACCACUGUUUACAAGACAAUUUAGAUAUAGCUGGAACCCAGAGUGGACAUAAUUUAAAUUCUUUCCCAGAAUUCUUCUCUGCAUACAUACAAAUGAAAUUUUGCCAGUUUAUUAAAUAUGCUUGCUUGCAUGUGUCUUGAAAGUUGCUGGUAGAAGGCAAUGACUUAAGCUGAGAGCACUAUCCACACAUAUAAGGAAUUAAUGGUAAUGUUCUUUUAGAGUACUUUACUUCUUGAUCAUGUUAAAUAACAGACUAGACUACAUGUUCUUCUGACCAAUAGUCCUGAACUAUGUUCAGAACUUAGUAAAUUUAUGGUACUGAUACA